ensembl:lncRNA
CAACCUGAUACGAUUUUGAGCAAGAUAAUGGUCAGAAAGAACACUGCCAGGCUCCUAAUGAGAAACUGUUGACAGUAAAAUUACCUCAACAUUCAUCAAAAAGCCAAUAAAUGUCAAGCGUGGGACCUUUGAUGCAGUAGCUCAUAAUUCCUACUCAGAAGCCUUUGCAGGCUGUCAGGGCAUGCGGUUACCCUGCAUUUCUGCUGAUUUUACUGAAACCUUUGCUGCUGAAGAAGUGCAAGGAGCAGGUGUCUGCAUGCUGGAUGUCACUGUUACAAUGCCACUGGCUCCUGUGAGACCUCAGAUGGAGCACAUUUGGCCUUCAUUUCCCCACCUGCAACACAAGAAUGACAGUACAGGAAUUACCCAAAGGCAAUUCUGUGAAGGAGACGGUGUUGCUGUCCAAAUGCUCAGAAAUCAUGAGCUGAAGCAUAAAAUACAGCACAAACAUCCGUCGCACUUUGUAAGAGAUCACUGACUGGAAGAGACCAUGACCCUAGAGAAGCAGUAUCCUGAAGGACCCGAAUGCAGCCAUCCACAGCUUCCUCAGUUUCCAUGGAUCUGAACUGCAAAGGAACUUGAGGCACUGUGGGGUUUGGUAUUUUACACAGAAAGCCAAUAGUAAGGAAAGACACCUACCUUCAGCCUACCCUACAAACAAGCAGCACACCAUUUUUGAUAGUUAGCUUCUCUUCCCAUCACCACUUCAUGUUGCUGAAGUAUGCCCAUUCUUUCUGCAGCACGUCCAUUAAUGCCACGAUCCGCUCACAGUGAGCAAUGCUGAGGAUGCCUGUAUGUCUUUGUGACACUAAGAGUCUCAUGAGGCCAUUCAAAUUCAAUAAAUCCACACGCAGACAUAAGAUGACCAGAUCCAACUCCAUUCCAGCAUAAUUAUUUCAAAUGAAAUGAUUAUUCUUUAAAAAUGAAGAAUUUUGCUUCAGAAAUUAAACCUAGGAAUUAACAGUAACACCAAACCCUGUCUUGUAUGUAUGGCAGUCAGUUUCAGAAGAUGAAUUUCUAAAUAUCUGAAAGAAUGUGCUCAACUCAACUGUCAUUCAUUUUUUAAGAUGGCCACUGAAAUCAUUUUAUUGCUGCAGUUAGUUGGAAAGAGCACUGUUCUGCAAAAAUCAGAUAAUGUACUUAUUUCUAAAAGCCUGGAACAAAGAGCCAGUAGAGAUUUGCUGAGUAGUUGCAACAUAGCCAUUAAAUAUAAAUAUUUUUUUAAACAAUUUACUCUUUCCUAAUGCUUUUAGAGCAGCAUGGGGGAACAGUCUGAGUGCAGCAUCUUACCGUAUUAAAAAGGACAUGAUGAAGGUUACUGGGCUCCAGAUUUAACUCUUCACUGUCUUAACUGUUCAGAACAUUUUCCAACCUAUAUAAACGAUGUAAGUUUAUAUAAAACUUAUUCAAUCUUCUCAGUGAAAACGGUAGAAAUUUUAUUUUGAAAAUGUCUAUUCCCACCAAUCUGCAUUUUUCACAUUCCUAUAGAAACAAACUGUUCUUAAUGGUGAAGUUUCUCAAAUUAAAAAACUGCUGCAGAAUUGGAAAUCACUUUUUUUACAUCAUGACUGUGGAUUGUGGAUAGAAAAGAAUUGCUUUGUGGGGCUGCAUGCACAUGAAUGAUACAUCACUGGUUUGAAUUACAGUGUGUAGGCCCCUAAGAAGAGGUUGAGUUUUGCUCCAAAAUCUCCAGGUACGGUUCCCUGUUAUAAUCAUAGAAUGGCUUGGGUUGGAAGGGACCCUAAAGCCUACUCAGUUCCAACCUCCUGCCAUGGGCUGGUUGCCCCCCAUCAGAUCAGGCUGCCCAGGGCCCAUCCAACCUGGCCUUGAACACCUCCAGGGAUGGGGCAUCCACAGCUUCUCUGGGCAGCUCUGUCAGUGCCUUCCUAUUUUUGUUCUGUGAAGGAAAUCAUCAGGAUAGCAUAAAGAACAGAAUUUGACACUUACUUAGGAAGCAAAGUGUCAUUCAACCCAUUGUAUCCAGCAGUGCACCUGACAGAGGACAGCCCACUGCUGCUCUCUGGGAGGGAGAUUCUUCCUGAAGUCUGAGACCACUUCUCAUUGCACGGAGAUACUCCCAAAAUCAGCCCUCCUCAUGGUUGGGACAUUCUGAAGUGGGGUUGUUGCAACUACAUACAAAAUCCCUCUUGAUUCAUGGUAUUCCCACCUUGUAGUUUUAGUAGCUAUGGGUAGUAUCUGAUCUGGCUUGAGAGUUUAUGUUACUUUUGCUAUCAGUGAAGAGAAAAAAUGUGCCCACAGAGUCAUUCAUCUGAUUUUCUUAGAUGACUGUUUAAGUAUGAAAUGGGUAAGCCAUCACAAUUUAGCUGUAUGGAACUUCAGAAAAAACAUCUUCUCUGAGAGGCCAUCCCAUGUUGAUCAUUAUGGAU